AUACCUAUAACUAUAAUCACUGAAGGAUUAUAUUUCACAAAGACAAUCUAGCUUCCAUUAAUAGUACCUUCUAUUUGGGUUUGGCAUUUUACUGUUUUUCACCACUUUUUUUCAACUAUUUAUGCCAAUCUGUCUGAAAGUCUGAAAAACAGAUUUCUCCCCAAUAUACCUUCAAAAUGCUACCAAAGACUAAAAUUUACCUUCAACUUUUGAAGCAAUGGGUCUUUACUGUAAACUUUUCAAUAAGGAUUAGCAAGGCUUCUUAAAGAAAUCUGCUUAAUACAAAGAUUUCUAAUCUACAGAAUAUUCUGAACUCAACAAGAAAGCCAACUUUAUAUUCUGUCAGAGUUGGAACUUUUAACCAGUCAAGUCAUUAACUUCAAUUUUUUACCAUCAGUUAGCAGACUGUUUUGAUUUCUAUGGAGCCCGAUCUUUCACAAUUUUGUUUUUGCACAAUUUCAAUAACCCUGGAUGAUUAAUUGACCAA